rnacentral:misc_RNA from 1 species
GAAAUGCGAUAAGUAAUGUGAAUUGCAGAAUUCAGUGAAUCAUCGAAUCUUUGAACGCACAUUGCGCCCGCCAGUAUUCUGGCGGGCAUGCCUGUUCGAGCGUCAUUUCAACCAUCAAGCCCCCGGCUUGUGUUGGGGACCUGCGGCUGCCCGCAGGCCCUGAAAAACAGUGGCGGGCUCGCUGUCACACCGAGCGUAGUAGCAUACAUUCUCGCUCAGGGCGUGCUGCGGGUUCCGGCCGUUAAACGACCUUCAUAACCCAAGGUUGACCUCGGAUCAGGUAGGAAGACCCGCUGAACUUGCGC